rnacentral:rRNA from 1 species
UACGUAGGGGGCAAGCGUUGUCCGGAUUUAUUGGGCGUAAAGAGCGUGUAGGCGGCCACACAGGUCUGCUGUGAAAACUCGAGGCUCAACCUCGAGCUGUCGGUGGAAACCGUGUGGCUAGAGUCCGGAAGAGGAGAGUGGAAUUCCCGGUGUAGCGGUGAAAUGCGCAGAUAUCGGGAAGAACACCCGUGGCGAAGGCGGCUCUCUGGGACGGUACUGACGCUGAGACGCGAAAGCGUGGGGAGCGAACAGA